UUUCCACCCACUGUUCAGCCAUCAGUCAGCCUAAACAUUCUACUUUCUGCCUUUCUCCCCACAAGCAACUUUGUUUGCAGAGAACCCACAGAGUUUGACAUGUUGUCUGCAGACUCUCUGUCCACAGGCUGCAGGUGUAGUGGAGCCCGCUCCAGACUGAGACAGAGGCCCAGGUUUUUACCAGGCUGUGCUGCUGCCAGCCUGGUGUGACUACCCAUCCCACCCCCUUCGAUACCUGUGCCUCAGUUUCUCCCAUGGAUAAUGGAGUGGGACUCAAUGGGAGUAACAGACUCCAAGAACAUGAAUGGGGGUGAGCAGGGACCACCAAACACGUCCUCUGCCCAUCUCAUGUCCGACCCACUCACCUCCCAAGUAACAGGCACAACUUCACCAAAUCUGUGGCCCCCCAACUGGGUGGAUAAGGCCAGGACUUGCUUCUGAUUUGCACAGCACAUCCCCCCAGCAUUGGAAUAAAAGCUGCUCAGGAUGGCCCUCGAGAUAAGGUUUUCAGAGCUCUAGGGAUCCAGACCCAAAACUGCGGGACCUCUGAGGAAGCACAGGUUCCUGCACUGAAGGCAGAGCACUGGCCAUCUAUUUUGACUCUAAAUAUUUGGAGGAAUUCUGCGAGCUGUUUUGUAAGCUGCAACUAGAGGUCAGCAAAAGCAGAAGCCCCUCAAGAGCGUGCGCAGAGCUGCAGAGGGCCUUCAACACUCCAUAUGACGCCUUCAAUAGGAAGGGAGGAAGAUAAAUAACAUGGAAACAGAGAGAAUCACCUGGACCAAUUUUGGUAUUAAAAAACCUGGAAAAAGCAUUACAUGUUUGUCUUUAAUUUUUCUGCCCUCAGAGUGAAUCUUGGUCAUCGUUACAGAACUGUAGAGCUCCAAGAUGAUACCUUUUAUUUCUAAGGAUCCUGCAUGCAGUGUGAGAAGCUGGCUGACGUUGCUAGCUCCACUUCAAAGGUAAAGAAACUGAGUCAGGCAGAGAGAGCACCAGAUCUGUCUGAGCUCAGUGGAGGCGAACAAUCAGAGACUCGACUGAAUAACAGCCUCAGAAAAAGGAUGCAGUUUAGUCUUCCAGCUACGGGCUAAGGUGUCUUAUUUUUUCUAGAGUAAUAAAAAUCAGAAUUUUAAAGUAUAUUCCCUUACUUACCCUGGAG
rnacentral:lncRNA from 1 species